rnacentral:lncRNA from 1 species
GUGAUUAUGACAAAUUUUGAGAAAACUUCAUCGGGACAGACGAGUAGAAAUGGGCACUUUAUUUGAAAAAAUGCUUUGACUGGUCUUUGGUGCGUUAAGUCAAAAAUUCUCCUAAUAGAACCACAAGGACGGUUAAUUAUUUCUGGUCUUAAUCUAGAUUUUAACAUUAGAAAAGUUUCGAAUUUUUUCUAAUAAUGUAAAUCUCUCUCUCUCUCUCUCUCUCUCUCUACAUAUAUCUAUCUCAAUGCAGAUAUCUGAAUUUACGAUUUAAUGUUAAGUCAUUUAUGACGGAAAUGCAGAAAAGACACUUAAUAUGUGUUUUUUUUUUUCUUUUUGAAAAAGCAGAAUGGUCUACAAUAAAACCUCGCUGUAUUGCUCACUCUCUAUAUUGCUGGAACAAAGGGAAAAUUGUACAAGCCGUGAGAACUAAAAGUUGUUAGGCAAAAAGAAAAGAUGUUGAAUUAUGUAAUCAUGUAAUCUUCCGCCAUUAACACCCUGUGUGUGUUUAGGAAGGGGGCAAGGAAGUAGUCUCUUUGCUUUGAUCGCAUCUACAGCCUGAGUUAAAUAAAUCUUGAGGAGAAAAAGGAAAUAAUAUAAAAAUGUAAGCAACACAAAUUAAGAGUUGGAUACACUCUCUAUACUUUUAAAAUGCCUACGAGAACAUGUCCAUGGAUACAAUCUUCACAUUUUAUAACGCACAUAUCAGAGAAUUUAUAUAUGUAUACAUGUAAUUAUCUUUGAUAUGUGCAUAUAGCGAUAUAAGCCUGGCAACAAAUAUCUGGGUCUUUUGUGGGAAGAGUGGAUGAGUCAUUUGUACCCUGCUUGUGCCUACACCCGGGUGUAAACAUCAUUUCCAGGUGACUGUUUAAUUUCUAAAACUACAAUAAGCUAGCAACGAAUCAAACUUCCCCCAUCUCUUUUUCUGUUUAAAAAUGUCCUUGUCAAAACCUUCUGUCAGCAUGAAAACAUUUCUUGCUCUGUCCUUCCGGCUGCUGGGCGGGUGUAAAAUUUUCCUUUAUCCCUUGAUCUCCAGCCCACAUGUACAUUUACACUCUGCAGCUCCUUGUGACGCGGGGGCUUUAUCGGCCGCCAACAGCUCCAAACAGACGGUAAUCAGUCAAACUGUUAACUAGCCAAUACGCGAGCGUGAUGAAGCUUGCACGUUGUCGCUGAUGACGAUCUAAUUGCUCGUCAAUAAUUAAUGGCGCACACUGCGGCUCUGAGCGCUCUGUUGGGUCUGCGCACAGCGGCUACCGGAUGUGUCCAACAGCGCAUGCGCUAAACUACAUCGAUAGGCCCGGGACCUUGUCUUCUCGUCUGCUGCGAAGAAAAGUUUGAUCGAGGAGAGGGAAGGAAUCCAAUGGUUCGUUAAAUAAUUCUGACUGUUACAAGUGUAAUAUACACCACAAACCACUCUUCCACUGCGAUAGGUGUUGUGUGCACAAAGGUUUGGAACAAAAGCAAAAUGUGGCAGCCUGUUAAUAGCUGCACGACUGCCAUGUACACGAAAGGUCACGUGAAUAGCUCCAGCUUCAGGUUGUGUUAAGCCACCCUCAGAUGGUGCGACGAGGCUGAGCGAUGCUCCUAGCAGAUCUGACAGGCAGAAGGAAACGGGUCUCAAGAUGUUCGCCUGCAUACAACCCUCCGAGUCUGCCUCGACAGCGCUCGUGAACACACACACCCUGUGGUCGGAAACUACAGUAGAUGUCUUCCCACGUCAGCCUUGUGCGUUGCAGAACAGCUAUUCGCAUCGCAGAGGUUUUCUCUGGUUUGAACUUGAUCCGUUUGUGUUGAGGUGAGACAGGUGUGCUGUGUACACGGCUGGCCCAUAUCCCCUCUGCUUG